rnacentral:rRNA from 1 species
UACGUAGGGUGCAAGCGUUGUCCGGAAUCACUGGGCGUAAAGCGUGCGCAGGCGGCUUUGCAAGACAGAUGUGAAAUCCCCGGGCUUAACCUGGGAACUGCAUUUGUGACUGCAUGGCUGGAGUGCGGCAGAGGGGGAUGGAAUUCCGCGUGUAGCAGUGAAAUGCGUAAAUAUGCGGAGGAACACCGAUGGCGAAGGCAAUCCCCUGGGCCUGCACUGACGCCCAUGCACGAAAGCGUGGGGAGCAAACAGG